UGGGGAAUAUUGCACAAUGGGCGCAAGCCUGAUGCAGCCAUGCCGCGUGUGUGAAGAAGGCCUUAGGGUUGUAAAGCACUUUCAGCGAGGAGGAAGGGUUCAGUGUUAAUAGCACUGUGCAUUGACGUUACUCGCAGAAGAAGCACCGGCUAACUCCGUGCCAGCAGCCGCGGUAAUACGGAGGGUGCAAGCGUUAAUCGGAAUUACUGGGCGUAAAGCGCACGCAGGCGGUUUGUUAAGUCAGAUGUGAAAUCCCCGAGCUUAACUUGGGAACUGCAUUUGAAACUGGCAAGCUAGAGUCUUGUAGAGGGGGGUAGAAUUCCAGGUGUAGCGGUGAAAUGCGUAGAGAUCUGGAGGAAUACCGGUGGCGAAGGCGGCCCCCUGGACAAAGACUGACGCUCAGGUGCGAAAGCGUGGGGAGCAAACA
rnacentral:rRNA from 2 species